UCGCAUCCGCCAACCGGUCCAGCCGUGUCGCGGAAGGUAGUUCAACCAACUAAUGUUCCCUGAAGGGGAGCGAAGGUCAGCG
rnacentral:ncRNA from 1 species